rnacentral:lncRNA from 1 species
UUUUACUUGUUUUUUCCUAUUAACUUGUAAGCGGCAAUCAACCGGAUUUUGCUUUUCAUCUAAACUGGCUUUGCAGAACAUACUGUGGACUUCCCCUUUUGUAAAGAAAUAUGCUCUGGUACCAUCUCCUCGAACAUAAAAAUUUUCAGAUAAACAAUGUCCCUUUUUAAAACGAAGCUGAGUCUUAUAUCUUCCAUAGUCUCAAAAUAACAGCAUUCCCCCAGGUUUCAGUAGCUUGGACAGUAGGUUUACAACACCUUGCAUCCUGUUAGGAUGAAUAGAAGAGAGCACAAAGACAAGGAGAAUGACAUCUAGGAUCCCAUCUGGAAAAGGGUAAGGUAAGCCAUCAUCACAUACAUCAUGAACAAAGGCAAAACACUGGGCUGCUCUGUAGGACGAGUGUGACUUUACGAGCUCCACAGCUCCAGAAGCAAAAUCACAACAAUACAGAAAGGACUCUGGAAAGCUCUGCAAAGUGUUCAAAAUUGGAAACACACUAUUUCCAACUCCACAACCAACCUCUAGUAUCCUGAAAGUGGCACUGCUACCAGGAAACAAUCGGUCUUCAUACGUCCUUUUUUGUGUUUUUCAGAGUCUAGGUUGGAGUCUUUUGCUCCAGAGCCCCUCUUGAGGGCAGGCAGAAUUCUAAUACUCAUGAUCUUGGCUCUCUAUCUAAUUAGAAACUAAAGAGAGUUCUUUGUUUUCAGCUCUCAUAGUGCAAUUCCAUCUAAAACAGUUGCUACCUUAAUUCUCUGAGGUGGAGUGCAAGCCUACGUCAGCCUGUUCAAUAUUUUAAGACACAAGUUUCUCACGUCUCAGCAAAUGGAAACCUACAGGGUUGUGGCAGGUCCUCAACAUAAACACAUCGCUUUCUUCCUCUGUACUGGAGUGUAGCAACACAAAGAUACAGCCAACAAUUUCACUUGGUGGUCUGAUGAACUCUCAUAAAUGCCUUGUUUACAGCAUAAGAAUCAUUUGUCUUCCUGUAGUCUGGCUACCCCAGGCAAAGUGCAGCAGGAGGCAGAAGAAUCCCAUCAUAAGUAGGUAAGCACAAAUCUUUCAUGUGUUUCUGCCCAUGCCUGCAUCUGUAGUGCCACCUAGUGUCAGAGAGGGAUAAUAACAUUUUUAGAAGUCAA